AUAAAAUAAAGAGCGUAUAUAUAAUUACAAUAACUGUUAAAAAUGAAAAGACAGAAAGGGUUUUGGGUUUAGUGAGUGAAAACACGUUUACAGUUGAAGAGAAUUUUCUUUGUAAUAAUCUUAAUAAAUAUGUGGAAGGAUCAGAGUUUCAGCUGAACGUGUAUCCAAUUAACUUUAAAGAAUACAAUCAAACCAUCAAGUUCUCUUCAAAUUAUACAACUUUUUCAAACUUCAAAUUAACAAACUUUUCAAUUAGUGGUCCAAUAUAUAAACGAAUCGAUGAUGAAAAUUUGAUAAAAUUGGUUUGGAAAGUUCAAUGGAAUUAUCCAAAAAAUUUUGAAAGGGAUAAAAUUUCAGUAUUUUUUGCAUCCAAAGAUUGUUUAAAUGGUGUCAUAUUUUCAAAAGACUUUAGUUUGAAAUCAUUAUCUGGUGAUAUUUCAUUAACUAAUUCUGAAGAUGAUAAUUUGUCUGAAUGCCCUGGAUUGAGACUU
rnacentral:lncRNA from 1 species